CUCAGAAUGAACGCUGGCGGCAUGGCUAAGACAUGCAAGUCGAACGGACCAUAUAAUUGGGUAACCGAAAGUAUGGUUAGUGGCGAAAGGGUGAGGAAUAGAUAGGAACGUACCCUGUGCUCUGGGAUAGCGUCUGAAGCUUCGGCUUCUUCCGAAAGGGGCGGUAAUACCAGAUAAUGUCCUUCGGGACCAAAGAUUUAUCGGCAUUGGAGCGGCCUAUCUCCUAUCAGCUUGUUGGUGAGGUAACGGCUCACCAAGGCAACGACGGGUAGCGGGACUGAGAGGUUGGCCCGCCACAUCGGGACUGAGACACUGCCCGGACCUCCACGGAGGGCUGCAGUAACGGAUAUUGGGCAAUGGGCGAAAGCCUGACCCAGCAAUGCCGCGUGCAGGAUGAAGCCCCUAGGGGUGUAAACUGCUGUCAGGGGUCAGAAAGCUGGUUUCGGCCAGUUGAUCAACCCCAGAGGAAGUCACGGCUAACUUCGUGCCAGCAGCCGCGGUAAUACGAAGGUGGCAAGCGUUAUUCGGAAUCAUUGGGCUUAAAGGGCACGCAGGCGGAACAGUGUGUGUUGUGUGAAAUCCCCCGGCUUAACCGGGGAAUUGCACAGCAAACUGCUGUUCUUGAGGCAGGUAGGGGUGCAUGGAACUCUUGGUGGAGCGGUGGAAUGCGUAGAUAUCAAGAGGAACGCCAGAGGUGAAGACGGUGCACUGGGCCUGUCCUGACGCUGAGGUGCGAAAGCGUGGGGAGCGAACGGGAUUAGAUACCCCGGUAGUCCAC
rnacentral:rRNA from 1 species